CGUUUUUGUGCUUAUUGUUAUCGGUGUGAUUAAACCUCUGCCACUGUCUGAUUUUGGAGACUGGUGAACAUCAGCCGUUCUUAGAGACAGCAGAGCCAGAAUUACCUAUGGCUGCGGAGGGGAUCUGGGACAGUGCGGCUAAGGAGAGCACAGUGUGUUUCUAAGUGGGCUACAGAACAUCAUUAUCAUAUUUCUUCUGGAACCUGCUUUCUGGGCUGAAACACAGAAUGGCUUCCACUGAAGGUGUGUAUAGAAUCAGAGGGCUAUUCCACACCUGUAAACUGGACAACCAUCAUGGUGCCUAUGGGAUCUGUUCAGGCCACAUCUAUUAGGAACCUGGCCUGUGCAGCCCAGAAGACAGCUAGAGAUGGAUGGUGCUGGCGUGCGGCCACUUCGGAAGACAGAGCUGGAUCAGCCUGCCGGGGACAGAGGCAGACAAAUGGAACCUGCAGGACAAGCAUGCCAUUACCUUGUUUGCCAAACUCAUUACAGAGAAGUUGCAAAGUUCCAGUAUGCUGCCCCUGGCCUCCGAGACAAAGCUGUCAGCUGGUUCGUGAAUAAUUCCAGGCCACAUUCAGGCAGCCCGUUGUCGCUUGGCGCCCAGCAUGCUGCAGGUGAAGAUGGAAGCUCCAGCCCCAAGGAGGAAUAAUGCUGACCCCCAUCAGCACCAGCUCCUCACACUCAGCAGAGAUCAGGUGCUCUGGGGUAAGCUCCUGAGCAAUGUUUAAUUUCCCUCACUUCAUUCCACGUCUGUCUAACAGACAGUAUGUAACCAUAAUUUGGCCCAGCAGGUUACGUGUGUGCAUGGUGGCAACAAGAAAGCUCUUCUGAUGUUUUGCUUCAUGGGCCAAAUUUCACCCUGUUCUUUUGGGUCCUUCACAGACACUGUGUGGGAUUCAGAU
rnacentral:lncRNA from 1 species